rnacentral:rRNA from 1 species
UACGGGGGGGGCAAGCGUUGUUCGGAAUUACUGGGCGUAAAGCGUGCGCAGGCGGUUUUGUAAGGCAGGUGUGAAAUCCCAGGGCUUAACCUUGGAACUGCAUUUGUGACUGCAUCGCUGGAGUGCGGCAGAGGGGGAUGGAAUUCCGCGUGUAGCAGUGAAAUGCGUAGAUAUGCGGAGGAACACCGAUGGCGAAGGCAAUCCCCUGGGCCUGCACUGACGCUCAUGCACGAAAGCGUGGGGAGCAAACAGG